CCGAGGCGGAGCUCCAGGCCAUCGAGGUCGCGUACGCCGCCGAGUCCGGCAAGCGCCGCCAACUCCCAGACUGGUCCAAGGCACCCGCCCCCGCCUCCGUCUGCCCAUAGCCCAACCCAGUCCCCUCGCCCCCCUCCUGCCAAGUGGACUUCACAUUCCAAAGGAGGGACAGAAUCUGGAGUAAUUGAUUAUUUCCAAAAUCUGGAGUAAUCUUCUCAAGUUACAUGAUCAGUUGUGCUUGACUGAAAAUUUUCACAGGAAAAUUUUGACUGGAGUAACAGAGGCAUAACAGUACAAAUUACAGGCGAAUGUGGAUGUUGCACACUAUUGUGAAGGUGUAGCACUGCCCAAUUAAAUUUCCACUUCACAUAUCUACUUCAAUUUCUACUACAAAUUCACCUUUU